rnacentral:rRNA from 1 species
CGGACGGGUGAGUAACGCGUGGAAAACCUGCCGUAUACUGGGGGAUAACACUUAGAAAUAGGUGCUAAUACCGCAUAAGCGCACAGCUUCGCAUGAAGCGGUGUGAAAAACUCUGGUGGUAUACGAUGGUUCCGCGUCUGAUUAGCUAGUUGGUGGGGUAAUGGCCUACCAAGGCAACGAUCAGUAGCCGGCCUGAGAGGUUGACCGGCCACAUUGGGACUGAGAUACGGCCCAGACUCCUACGGAAGGCAGCAG